ACGGGAGGCAGCAGUGAGGAAUAUUGGUCAAUGGACGGAAGUCUGAACCAGCCAUGCCGCGUGCAGGAAUAAGGCCCUAUGGGUCGUAAACUGCUUUUGUGGUGGAGCAAUAAGUCGUACGUGUACGGCGAUGAGAGUACAUCACGAAUAAGCAUCGGCUAACUCCGUGCCAGCAGCCGCGGUAAUACGGAGGAUGCGAGCGUUAUCCGGAUUUAUUGGGUUUAAAGGGAGCGUAGGCGGAAGGUCAAGUCAGCUGUGAAAUGUAGUCGCUCAACGUCUGCACUGCAGUUGAAACUGGCCUCCUUGAGUGCGUAAGAGGCGGGCGGAAUUCGUCGUGUAGCGGUGAAAUGCUUAGAUAUGACGAAGAACUCCGAUUGCGAAGGCAGCUCGCUGGGCCGCAACUGACGCUGAAGCUCGAAGGUGCGGGUAUCAAACAGGAUUAGAUACCCUGGUA
rnacentral:rRNA from 1 species